rnacentral:rRNA from 1 species
CCCUUAGAUGUUCUGGGCGGCCCGCGCACUACAAUGGCGCUUUCAGCGAGUUCCUAUGUUGAAUUUUCCUGGGUAUUCUUGGAAGCGGCGUCUUGACUUGGGAUAGAUCCUUGUAAUUGUUGGUUUUGAACGAGGAAUUCCUUGUAAUCGCGGUUGAUCAGCUCGCGUUGAAUACGUCCCUGCCCUUUGUACACACCGCCCGUCGCUCCUACCGAUGAAUCGUCCGGUGAAGUUCACAGAGUGGCGGUUCGUGGAGUUGCUCGCGGAGUGAAAUGGACCUCACGAUUUAGAGGAAGGAGAAGUCGUAACA